rnacentral:rRNA from 1 species
CAAAAUGCUCGGAUGAGUUGUGGUUAGGGGUGAAAUGCCAAACGAACUUGGAGAUAGCUGGUUCUCGCCGAAAUAAUUUUAGGAUUAGCGUCAUACCGUUGAAUACGGGAGGUAGAGCACUGAAUGAGGUAGGGGCCUAACCGGCUACCGAACUCAAUCAAACUCCGAAUACCCGUAUUUUAGAGGAUGGCAGUCGGACUACGGGAGAUGAGUUUCGUGGUCGAGAGGGAAACAGCCCAGACCGUCAGCUAAGGUCCUGAAGUGGUGGCUAAGUGGCAAAGGAUGUGGGGUUACCGAGACAGCCAGGAGGUUGGCUUAGAAGCAGCCAUCCUUGAAAGAGUGCGUAAUAGCUCACUGGUCUAGUGAUCCUGCGCCGAAAAUAUAACGGGGCUUAAGCCACCCACCGAAGCUACGGAUUUGUUAUGAACUUCGGUUCAUAAUGAGUAGUAGGCGAGCGUUCUGUGAGCAUUGGAGCGAUAGCGGAAGCAGUCGUGGAGCGAACAGAAGUGAGAAUGUUGGCACGAGUAGCGAAAACUAUGUGAGAAUCAUAGUCCCCGAAUAUCUAAGGUUUCCGACGGAAGGUUAAUCCACGUCGGGUUAGUCGGGCCUAAGGUGAGGCUGAAGAGCGUAGCCGGUGGACAACAGGUUAAUAUUCCUGUACCGCGUAAGGUUGUUUGAGCGAAGGGGUGACGUGGAAGGGUAAGUUGGCCAGCCGUUGGUCGUGCUGGUGCCAAGCUUGUAGGCGAUGAGAGUGGGGAUAAAAGACCAUUUGAGCUGAGGAGUGAAGGCGAGCUCGCAAGAGCGGAAGCAACUGAACCCAUGCCACCAAGAAAAACCUCUAGUGAGACCUGCGUGACCGUACCGCAAACCGACACAGGUAGAUGGGUUGAGAAUACUAAGGGGAACGGGAGAACCUUCGUUAAGGAAUUAGGCAAAUUACAUCCGUAACUUCGGGAAAAGGAUCGCCUUUGUAGGUUGCUUGCACCUCGCGUGCAUAAGACUGAAGAGGCCGCAGAGAAAUGGCUCUAUCAACUGUUUAUCAAAAACACAGGUCUGUGCGAAGUCGUAAGACGAAGUAUACAGGCUGACGCCUGCCCAGUGCCGGAAGGUUAAGGGGAGAGGUUAACGCUUCGAACUGAAGCCCCGGUGAACGGCGGCCGUAACUAUAACGGUCCUAAGGUAGCGAAAUUCCUUGUCGGGUAAGUUCCGACCCGCACGAAAGGCGUAAUGAAUGGAGCACUGUCUCAACGAAGGACCCGGUGAAACUGAAAUAGGAGUGAAGAUGCUUCUUACCCGCAGCAGGACAAAAAGACCCCGUGGAGCUUUACUGUAGCUUGACAUUGUGUUAGGACUUAGACUGUGUAGGAUAGGUGGGAGACUGUGAAGCUGGACCGUCAGGUUCAGUGGAGUCGCCGGUGAAAUACCACUCUGUCUAAGUUUUGAUUCUAACCUUUCCCGUAAGCCGGGAAGGGGACCGUGUCAGGUGGGCAGUUUGACUGGGGUGGUCGCCUCCC